GAUGAAGAACGUAGCGAAAUGCGAUAAGUAAUGUGAAUUGCAGAAUUCAGUGAAUCAUCGAAUCUUUGAACGCACAUUGCGCCCGCCAGUAUUCUGGCGGGCAUGCCUGUCCGAGCGUCAUUUCAACCCUCGAACCCCUCCGGGGGGUCGGCGUUGGGGAUCGGCCCUGCCUCUUGGCGGUGGCCGUCUCCGAAAUACAGUGGCGGUCUCGCCGCAGCCUCUCCUGCGCAGUAGUUUGCACACUCGCAUCGGGAGCGCGGCGCGUCCACAGCCGUUAAACACCCAACUUCUGAAAUGUUGACCUCGGAUCAGGUAGGAAUACCCGCUGAACUUAAGCAUAUCAAUAAGCGAGGA
rnacentral:misc_RNA from 1 species